AGUUUGAUCUUGGCUCAGGACGAACGCUGGCGGCGUGCUUAACACAUGCAAGUCGAACGGUGAUGUCAGAGCUUGCUCUGGCGGAUCAGUGGCGAACGGGUGAGUAACACGUGAGUAACCUGCCCCCGACUCUGGGAUAACUGCUAGAAAUGGUAGCUAAUACCGGAUAUGACGAUUGGCCGCAUGGUCUGGUCGUGGAAAGAAUUUCGGUUGGGGAUGGACUCGCGGCCUAUCAGGUUGUUGGUGAGGUAAUGGCUCACCAAGCCUACGACGGGUAGCCGGCCUGAGAGGGUGACCGGCCACACUGGGACUGAGACACGGCCCAGACUCCUACGGGAGGCAGCAGUGGGGAAUAUUGCACAAUGGGCGAAAGCCUGAUGCAGCAACGCCGCGUGAGGGAUGACGGCCUUCGGGUUGUAAACCUCUUUUAGUAGGGAAGAAGCGAAAGUGACGGUACCUGCAGAAAAAGCACCGGCUAACUACGUGCCAGCAGCCGCGGUAAUACGUAGGGUGCAAGCGUUGUCCGGAAUUAUUGGGCGUAAAGAGCUCGUAGGCGGUUUGUCGCGUCUGCUGUGAAAUCCCGAGGCUCAACCUCGGGUCUGCAGUGGGUACGGGCAGACUAGAGUGCGGUAGGGGAGAUUGGAAUUCCUGGUGUAGCGGUGGAAUGCGCAGAUAUCAGGAGGAACACCGAUGGCGAAGGCAGAUCUCUGGGCCGUAACUGACGCUGAGGAGCGAAAGCAUGGGGAGCGAACAGGAUUAGAUACCCUGGUAGUCCAUGCCGUAAACGUUGGGAACUAGAUGUGGGGACCAUUCCACGGUCUCCGUGUCGCAGCUAACGCAUUAAGUUCCCCGCCUGGGGAGUACGGCCGCAAGGCUAAAACUCAAAGGAAUUGACGGGGGCCCGCACAAGCGGCGGAGCAUGCGGAUUAAUUCGAUGCAACGCGAAGAACCUUACCAAGGCUUGACAUAUACCGGAAACAUGCAGAAAUGUGUGCCCCGCAAGGUCGGUAUACAGGUGGUGCAUGGUUGUCGUCAGCUCGUGUCGUGAGAUGUUGGGUUAAGUCCCGCAACGAGCGCAACCCUCGUUCUAUGUUGCCAGCACGUAAUGGUGGGAACUCAUAGGAGACUGCCGGGGUCAACUCGGAGGAAGGUGGGGAUGACGUCAAAUCAUCAUGCCCCUUAUGUCUUGGGCUUCACGCAUGCUACAAUGGCCGGUACAAAGGGCUGCGAUACCGUAAGGUGGAGCGAAUCCCAAAAAGCCGGUCUCAGUUCGGAUUGAGGUCUGCAACUCGACCUCAUGAAGUCGGAGUCGCUAGUAAUCGCAGAUCAGCAACGCUGCGGUGAAUACGUUCCCGGGCC
rnacentral:rRNA from 1 species